AACGCAUAUUGCGCCCCUUGGUAUUCCGGGGGGCACACCUGUUCGAGCGCCAUUUCGACCCUCAAGCAUUGCUUGGUGUUGGGUAAAGUCCUUAAGGGACCUACCCGUAACUUGUAGGCUGCCUUUAGUGGCCCCCCCAGCGUAGCAAGCUAACGCACCCGCUGGGGGGUAGCCUAUAAAGGCCCGCCAAAAACUAUUCAAAGGUUUGGCCUCGGAUCAGGUGGGGAUACCCGCUGAACUUAA
rnacentral:misc_RNA from 1 species